GACUCCGUGGCUACAGAACGAACGCUGGCGGCAUGCCUAACACAUGCAAGUCGAACGAAGCCUUCGGGCUUAGUGGCGCACGGGUGCGUAACGCGUGGGAAUCUGCCUUGGGUUCGGAAUAACAGUUAGAAAUGACUGCUAAUACCGAAUGAUGUCUUCGGACCAAAGAUUUAUCGCCCAAGGAUGAGCCCGCGUCGGAUUAGCUAGUUGGUGAGGUAAAGGCUCACCAAGGCGACGAUCCGUAGCUGGUCUGAGAGGAUGAUCAGCCACACUGGGACUGAGACACGGCCCAGACUCCUACGGGAGGCAGCAGUGGGGAAUAUUGGACAAUGGGCGAAAGCCUGAUCCAGCAAUGCCGCGUGAGUGAUGAAGGCCUUAGGGUUGUAAAGCUCUUUUACCCGGGAUGAUAAUGACAGUACCGGGAGAAUAAGCCCCGGCUAACUCCGUG
rnacentral:rRNA from 1 species